rnacentral:RNase_P_RNA from 1 species
AGUAAGUCAGGCAGUCGCGGUCAGACGGCGAAAGCCCCUGUCCGAGGAAAGUCCGGGCUUCACAGAGCGAGGAUAACGGCUAACGGCCGCCGAGGGUGACCUUAGGGAAAGUGCAACAGAAAAUAACCGCGAAUCGUCCUUUGACGACGCAAGGGUGGAAAGGCGAGGUAAGAGCUCACCAAGGCGGGGGAGACUCCGUCGUUGUGUAAACCCUAUCCGAAGCAACACCGCGGAGGGACAUACGGCCUGCUCGGCUGUCCCGUGGAGGUGGCACCGAGCCGCUGCGGCAACGCGCGGCCAAGAUAGAUGACUGCCUAAUACAGAACCCGGCUUACAGAUUUACUCA